AAAAAUUCUGCAGCUGCACGAUCACGACACUGAUGUCAUCAGUUGAGCCCCUGGAAAUCGAUGUCUCAGUGAGCAUCCUGCAGGCAGCCAUGCGCGAGGUCUUGUCAUUGUUAAUGCAGAGAGGUCGUGCGAGGUCUACUGCCUCCUGAUUAUCGAUCUUAUCCCAGAGGCCAUCAGAAGCAAGUAUCAAGAACUCGCACUGCUGGUCAACCAGGACCGUCCUGGUGUCUGGGUCAGCCACAACCCACUGCUUUAGGUGUCCAUCCCCAAUGCCCCUAGACACUGCCAGGGAGCCCUGGACUCGCCAUGUUCCACGGUAAUUCACCACAAAUCCACCCUGAAAAGCAAAUGAGCAGGCACAUAAGCGAAAUUGCAGAACAAUGAACAAUUCAUGUAUGCUCGAUUGUUAAUUAAUUGCUCAAUCAUCUAGUUGAUUCAGCUAGAUGCAUUAUUCAAUUGCAUUAGCAGAGUUUGUGCAAGAAAUGAGAAGGCUAGGAGGACAUACCAAA
rnacentral:lncRNA from 1 species